GAUGAACGCUGGCGGCGUGCCUAAUACAUGCAAGUCGAGCGAACGGACGAGAAGUUUGUUGCGCUGAUGUUUGCGGCGGACGGGUGUGUAACACGUGGAAAACCUACCUAUAAGACGAGGAAAACUUCGGGAAACCGGAUCUAAUAGCGGAUGAUAUGUUGACCCGUAUGGUUCAAAAGGGAAAGACGUUCUUGCGGGCACUUAUAGAUGGAUCCGCGCUGCUUUAGCUAGUUGGUAAGGUAACGGCUUACCAAGGCAACGAUGCCUAGCCGACCUGAGGGGCGGAUCGGCCACCUUGGAACUCGGACACGCUCCAUGCUCCUGCGAGAGGCAGCAGUAGCGUACCGGACGCAACGGGCGAGAACAUGACACAGCGGGCGCACGUCAGAUGUGAAGACGUUCGGAUCGUAAAACUGUGUUAUGGGGUAAAAACAUAUGUCUAAAUAAAAGUAGACAUCGUGACGGUACCUGCAGAAAAAGCACCGGCUAACUACGUG
rnacentral:rRNA from 1 species